rnacentral:rRNA from 1 species
AUUGAACGCUGGCGGCAUGCCUUACACAUGCAAGUCGAACGGUAACGGGUCCUUCGGGAUGCCGACGAGUGGCGAACGGGUGAGUAAUAUAUCGGAACGUGCCCAGUAGUGGGGGAUAACUGCUCGAAAGAGCAGCUAAUACCGCAUACGACCUGAGGGUGAAAGGGGGGGAUCGCAAGACCUCUCGCUAUUGGAGCGGCCGAUAGCAGAUUAGCUAGGUGGUGGGGUAAAGGCCUACCAAGGCAACGAUCUGUAGUUGGUCUGAGAGGACGACCAGCCACACUGGGACUGAGACACGGCCCAGACUCCUACGGGAGGCAGCAGUGGGGAAUUUUGGACAAUGGGCGCAAGCCUGAUCCAGCAAUGCCGCGUGCAGGAAGAAGGCCUUCGGGUUGUAAACUGCUUUUGUCAGGGAAGAAAUCUUCUGGGCUAAUACCCCGGGAGGAUGACGGUACCUGAAGAAUAAGCACCGGCUAACUACGUGCCAGCAGCCGCCGUAAGAC